UAUAUGAGGUCUGUCCAGAAAAAAAGUCCAGCCAUUGUUAAUAUAACUAGAAUUGUUUGUGCAACAUCAAUGUAAUCUGGCAACCAAGGAGAAAGGACUGGAAUUCACAUGUGUGAGUAAUGAUGACUUCACUGUACUAAUCAGUGGGGGUGGUAGAUGCCACUG